GCAGUUGGUGGACCUGGUCGCGCUGUGCCGGGUGUGACACUACGGUAGGUGUAGGUUAGGAUGUGUCUUCUGGUCGUGGUCUACUAGUUGGGGCCGAGGGAAGAAGAUGACGAUUCCAAUUUCAGUAGCCACUCUCUAGGCUUAUGAACUGAAAGACCAAGGAGCACAAUUUCCGAGUUUCAAAGAUACUUUCAAACUGAAAGGAACUGUUCGCCAGCUGCUCGCGAAGUGGCCCAUGUGACCCCUAGUGAACGGUCUAAACUUCCGCUAGAUGCUUUGGGAAUUCGUAAAGCGACUGCGUGCGCGGCAGCCAAGCCACAGCUUUACAGGGUUCGCCUUCUGUGUGGGAACGCAGCUUUUCCCGAGAAAUUGGGUUAGGGAUUAAAGAGAAGAACUGCAUCCUUUUUACUGCCCUUUUUCCACGUCUGUCCUGGGCUUAGGGCCCUCCUCAGAGGCCAGAGGGGUAGGCGAGUCCGGGGCGGUAGGGGGCUGCGUCCGGAAGUCCAGGCUGCGUUCUGUCCACCCUGCCCACCCUUAGGGGGCAGGACAGGAAUAAGGUCACCUCACCAAAGAGGCCCAUCAACAUGGAAGAAUAUUUCAGUGAAUCUUGACUCACCAAGCUCAGUGACUUUUCAUUGAAAAGGGAGAGCAGAUUACAUUAUCAAAAGCACCAAGUUGAAACAUUUGCAAGGUGAGGAAACUGAGCACUAAGACACUAAAUAACUUGCCCAGGGUCAUACGACAGACAUGAGAGGUUUAUAUCAGGCAGUCUCCACCCCUGUUCCGAAGUCAAGAGGCUGACUCGGGUUGCUACUUCUUGACAGACCGGACCCCAGAUCGCCGAAGACCAUUUGGACACACUUCUAUCAAAUCCUGGCGGUCUCCUUCUAACAGGGAGUGGGAUGCUGCUCUAAUGAUACCCCGAAAUGUGGAAGUGACCUUGAAACUGUUUAACAGGCAGAGGUUGGAACUGUUUGGAGGGCUCAGAAGAAGACAGGAAGAUGUGGGAACGUUUGGAACUUCCUAGAGACUUGUUGAAUGGCUUUGACCAAAAUACUGAUAGUCAUAUGAACAAUGAAGUACAGGCUGAGGUGUUUUCAGAUGGAAAUGA
rnacentral:lncRNA from 1 species